UACAGAGGGUGCAAGCGUUAAUCGGAGUUACUGGGCGUAAAGCGCGCGUAGGUGGCUUGAUAAGCCGGUUGUGAAAGCCCCGGGCUCAACCUGGGAACGGCAUCCGGAACUGUCAGGCUAGAGUGCAGGAGAGGAAGGUAGAAUUCCCGGUGUAGCGGUGAAAUGCGUAGGGAUCGGGAGGAAUACCAGUGGCGAAGGCGGCCUUCUGGGCUGAUACUGACACUGAGGUGCGAAAGCGUAGGUAGCGAACAGG
rnacentral:misc_RNA from 1 species